UGGGGAAUCUUGGACAAUGGGCGCAAGCCUGAUCCAGCCAUGCCGCGUGAGUGAUGAAGGCCUUAGGGUCGUAAAGCUCUUUCGCCAGAGAUGAUAAUGACAGUAUCUGGUAAAGAAACCCCGGCUAACUCCGUGCCAGCAGCCGCGGUAAUACGGAGGGGGUUAGCGUUGUUCGGAAUUACUGGGCGUAAAGCGUACGUAGGCGGAUUAGUCAGUCAGAGGUGAAAUCCCAGGGCUCAACCCUGGAACUGCCUUUGAUACUGCUAGUCUUGAGUUCGAGAGAGGUGAGUGGAAUUCCAAGUGUAGAGGUGAAAUUCGUAGAUAUUUGGAGGAACACCAGUGGCGAAGGCGGCUCACUGGCUCGAUACUGACGCUGAGGUACGAAAGUGUGGGGAGCAAACAGGAUUAGAUACCCUGGUAGUCCACACCGUAAACGAUGAAUGCCAGUCGUCGGGCAGUAUACUGUUCGGUGACACACCUA
rnacentral:rRNA from 1 species